rnacentral:rRNA from 1 species
CAGCCGCCACGGUAAUACGAAGGGAGCAAGCGUUAAUCGGAAUUACUGGGCGUAAAGCGUGCGUAGGCGGUUUGUUAAGUCUGUUGUGAAAUCCCCGGGCUCAACCUGGGAAUGGCAAUGGAUACUGGCAAGCUAGAGUGUGUCAGAGGAUGGUGGAAUUCCCGGUGUAGCGGUGAAAUGCGUAGAGAUCGGGAGGAACAUCAGUGGCGAAGGCGGCCAUCUGGGACAACACUGACGCUGAGGCACGAAAGCGUGGGGAGCAAACAGGAUUAGAUACCCCUGUAGUCCCUGUCUCUUAUAA